AACGUAGGUGGCGAGCGUUAUCCGGAAUGAUUGGGCGUAAAGCGUCCGCAGGUGGCUAUGUAAGUCUGCUGUUAAAGAGUGAGGCUCAACCUCAUAAGAGCAGUGGAAACUACAUGGCUAGAGUGCGUUCGGGGCAGAGGGAAUUCCUGGUGUAGCGGUGAAAUGCGUAGAGAUCAGGAAGAACACCGGUGGCGAAAGCGCUCUGCUAGGCCGCAACUGACACUCAUGGACGAAAGCUAGGGGAGCGAAUGGG
rnacentral:rRNA from 1 species